CAGUAGCCGCGGGAAUACGUAGGGCGCAAGCGUUGUCCGGAAUUAUUGGGCGUAAAGAGCUCGUAGGCGGUCUGUCGCGUCUGGUGUGAAAUCCCGAGGCUCAACCUCGGGCUUGCAUCGGGUACGGGCAGACUAGAGUGCGGUAGGGGAGACUGGAAUUCCUGGUGUAGCGGUGGAAUGCGCAGAUAUCAGGAGGAACACCGAUGGCGAAGGCAGGUCUCUGGGCCGCAACUGACGCUGAGGAGCGAAAGCAUGGGGAGCGAACAGGAUUAGAUACCCCGGUAGUCCCUGUCUCUUAUAC
rnacentral:rRNA from 1 species